AGCAGCCGCGGUAAUUCCAGCUCCAAUAGCGUAUAUUAAAGUUGUUGCAGUUAAAAAGCUCGUAGUUGAAUUUCGGGAUCAAUACGUCGGUCGUGCCUCUGGUAUGUACUGGUGUUAUUGAUUUCUCCCUUCUGAUGAACCAUGAUGUCAUUAAUUUGGUGUUGUGGGGAGUCAGGACUGUUACUUUGAAAAAAUUAGAGUGUUUAAAGCAGGCCUACGCUUGAAUACAUUAGCAUGGAAUAAUGAAAUAGGACGUUCGAACCUAUUUUGUUGGUUUCUAGGAUCAACGUAAUGAUUAAUAGGGAUAGUUGGGGGCAUUAGUAUUCAAUUGUCAGAGGUGAAAUUCUUGGAUUUAUUGAAGACUAACUACUGCGAAAGCAUUUGCCAAGGAUGUUUUCAUUAAUCAAGAACGAAAGUUAGGGGAUCGAAGACGAUCAGAUACCGUCGUAGUCUUAACCAUAAACUAUGCCGACUAGGGAUCGGAUGAUGUUAAUUUUUAAUGACUCAUUCGGCGCCUUAA
rnacentral:rRNA from 1 species